UACGUAGGUGGCGAGCGUUGUCCGGAUUUACUGGGCGUAAAGGAUGCGUAGGCGGAUAUUUAAGUGGGAUGUGAAAUACCCGGGCUCAACUUGGGUGCUGCAUUCCAAACUGGAUAUCUAGAGUGCAGGAGAGGAAAGUGGAAUUCCUAGUGUAGCGGUGAAAUGCGUAGAGAUUAGGAAGAACAUCAGUGGCGAAGGCGACUUUCUGGACUGUAACUGACGCUGAGGCAUGAAAGCGUGGGGAGCAAACAGG
rnacentral:rRNA from 1 species